rnacentral:rRNA from 1 species
AUUGAACGCUGGCGGCAUGCUUUACACAUGCAAGUCGAACGGUAGGGUAGCAAUACCUGAGAGUGGCGAACGGGUGAGUAAUGCAUCGGAACAUGCCUAUUUGUGGGGGAUAGCCCGGCGAAAGCCGGAUUAAUACCGCAUACGAUCUACGGAUGAAAGCUGGGGACCGCACGGCCUAGCGCAAAUAGAGUGGCCGAUGUCAGAUUAGCUUGUUGGUGGGGUAAAGGCUCACCAAGGCAACGAUCUGUAGCUGGUUUGAGAGAACGACCAGCCACACUGGGACUGAGACACGGCCCAGACUCCUACGGGAGGCAGCAGUGGGGAAUUUUGGACAAUGGGCGCAAGCCUGAUCCAGCAAUGCCGCGUGCAGGAUGAAGGCCUUCGGGUUGUAAACUGCUUUUGUACGGAACGAAACGGCUCUGGUUAAUACCCGGGGCUAAUGACGGUACCGUAAGAAUAAGCACCGGCUAACUACGUGCCAGCAGCCGCUGUAA